UACCCGGAGCCCAAGUGAUGGCCAGAUUUAUUGGGUCUAAAGCGUCCGUAGCCGGUUCAUAAAGUCCUUAGUGAAAUCUUAUAGUCAACUAUAAGGCGAGCUUUGGAUACUCAUGUGACUUGAGACCGGGAGAGGGUUGGGGUACUUUCAGGGUAGGGGUAAAAUCCUGUAAUCCUAAGAGGACCACCUGUGGCGAAGGCGCCAACCUGGAACGGGUCUGACGGUGAGGGACGAAAGCUGAGGGA
rnacentral:rRNA from 1 species